AGAGUUUGAUCCUGGCUCAGGACGAACGCUGGCGGCGCGCCUAACACAUGCAAGUCGAACGAGAGAUGAGGAGCUUGCUCUUCAAAUCGAGUGGCGAACGGGUGAGUAACGCGUGAGGAACCUGCCUCAAAGAGGGGGACAACAGUUGGAAACGACUGCUAAUACCGCAUAAGCCCACGGCUCGGCAUCGAGCAGAGGGAAAAGGAGCAAUCCGCUUUGAGAUGGCCUCGCGUCCGAUUAGCUAGUUGGUGAGGUAACGGCCCACCAAGGCGACGAUCGGUAGCCGGACUGAGAGGUUGAACGGCCACAUUGGGACUGAGACACGGCCCAGACUCCUACGGGAGGCAGCAGUGGGGAAUAUUGCACAAUGGGGGAAACCCUGAUGCAGCGACGCCGCGUGGAGGAAGAAGGUCUUCGGAUUGUAAACUCCUGUUGUUGAGGAAGAUAAUGACGGUACUCAACAAGGAAGUGACGGCUAACUACGUGCCAGCAGCCGCGGUAAAACGUAGGUCACAAGCGUUGUCCGGAAUUACUGGGUGUAAAGGGAGCGCAGGCGGGAGAACAAGUUGGAAGUGAAAUCCAUGGGCUCAACCCAUGAACUGCUUUCAAAACUGUUUUUCUUGAGUAGUGCAGAGGUAGGCGGAAUUCCCGGUGUAGCGGUGGAAUGCGUAGAUAUCGGGAGGAACACCAGUGGCGAAGGCGGCCUACUGGGCACCAACUGACGCUGAGGCUCGAAAGUGUGGGUAGCAAACAGGAUUAGAUACCCUGGUAGUCCACACCGUAAACGAUGAUUACUAGGUGUUGGAGGAUUGACCCCUUCAGUGCCGCAGUUAACACAAUAAGUAAUCCACCUGGGGAGUACGACCGCAAGGUUGAAACUCAAAGGAAUUGACGGGGGCCCGCACAAGCAGUGGAGUAUGUGGUUUAAUUCGACGCAACGCGAAGAACCUUACCAAGUCUUGACAUCCCUUGACGAUGCUGGAAACAGCAUUUCUCUUCGGAGCAAGGAGACAGGUGGUGCAUGGUUGUCGUCAGCUCGUGUCGUGAGAUGUUGGGUUAAGUC
rnacentral:rRNA from 1 species